AUGGGUCAAAGUCUGAGUGGUGGCCAUGGUCCUGGAGGUGGUAAGAAGGAUAAGGAUAAGAACAAUAAAUGUGAACCUCCUGUACCAACUAGAGUGGGGAAAAAGAAAACAAAAGGACCAGAUGCUGCCAGCAAACUGCCACUGGUGACACCUCACACUCAGUGCUGAUUAAAACUACUCAAGUUGGAGAGAAUUAUAGACUAUCUUCUCAUGGAGGAAGAAUUUAUUAGAAAUCAGGAACAAAUGAAACCAUUAGAAAAAAAGCAAGAGGAGGAAAGGUCAAAGGUAGAUGAUCUGAGGGGGACCCCAAUGUCAGUAGGAACCUUUGAAGAGAUCAUUGAUGACAAUCAUGCCAUCGUGUCUACAUCUGUGGGCUCAGAACACUAUGUCAGCAUCCUUUCAUUUGUGGACAAGGAUCUGCUGGAACCCGGCUGCUCAGUCCUACUCAACCACAAAGUGCAUGCUGUGAUUGGGGUGCUGAUGGAUGACACAGAUCCUCUGGUCACAGUGAUGAAGGUGGAGAAGCCCCCCCAGGAAACCUAUGCUGACAUUGGUGGGUUGGACAACCAAAUCCAGGAAAUAAAGGAAUCUGUGGAGCUUCCUUUCACCCAUCCUGAAUACUAUGAACAGAUGGGUAUAAAGCCCCCUAAGGGGGUCAUUCUCUAUGGUCCACCUGGCACAGGUAAAACCUUGUUAGCCAAAGCAGUAGCAAACCAAACUUCAGCCACUUUCUUGAGAGUGGUUGGCUCUGAACUUAUUCAGAAGUACCUGGGUGAUGGGCCCAAACUUGUACGGGAAUUAUUUUGAGUUGCUGAAGAACAUGCACCAUCCAUUGUGUUUAUUGAUGAAAUCGAUGCCAUUGGGACCAAAAGAUAUGAUUCAAACUCUGGAGGUGAGAGAGAAAUUCAGCGAACUAUGUUGGAACUGUUGAACCAGUUGGACGGAUUUGACUCACGGGGAGACGUGAAAGUUAUCAUGGCCACAAACCGAAUAGAAACUUUGGAUCCAGCGCUGAUUAGACCAGGGCGCAUCGACAGGAAGAUCGAGUUUCCCCUACCCGAUGAAAAGACCAAGAAGCGCAUCUUUCAGAUUCACACCAGCAGGAUGACACUGGCCAAUGAUGUAACCCUCAAUGACCUGAUCAUUGCAAAGGAUGAUCUCUCUGGUGCUGAUAUCAAGGCAAUCUGUACAGAAGCUGGUCUAAUGGCGUUGAGAGAACGCAGAAUGAAAGUAACAGGUGAAGACUUCAAGAAAUCUAAAGAAAAUGUUCUUUAUAAGAAACAGGAAGGUACCCCUGAGGGGCUGUAUCUCUAGUGAACCACAGCUGCCUUCAGGCAAGUGGUUGGGACUUUGCUCAACCCCUGGGAAGGAUGAGAUUUGGGAA